UGACCUGCCCCGAAGAGGGGGAGUAAACGGCCCGAAAGGGGCUGCUAAUACCCCAUGUGAUUGGCGAUUCAGUUUGCCAAUUAAAGCUUCCGCAAGGAGUGUGCUUCGGGAGGGGCCUGCGGCAGAUUAGAUAGUUGGUGGGGUAAUGGCCUACCAAGUCGAUGAUCUGUAGCUAGUCUGAGAGGACGAUUAGCCACACUGGCACUGACACACGGGCCAG
rnacentral:rRNA from 1 species